GUGGGGAAUAUUGGGCAAUGGGCGCAAGCCUGACCCAGCAACGCCGCGUGAAGGAAGAAGGCUUUCGGGUUGUAAACUGCUUUUACCAGGGACGAAACAAAUGACGGUACCUGGUGAAUAAGCCACGGCUAACUACGUGCCAGCAGCCGCGGUAAUACGUAGGUGGCGAGCGUUAUCCGGAUUUAUUGGGUGUAAAGGGCGUGUAGGCGGGACAGCAAGUCAGAUGUGAAAACCAGAGGCUCAACCUCUGGCCUGCAUUUGAAACUGUUGUUCUUGAGUGUCGGAGAGGUAAUCGGAAUUCCGUGUGUAGCGGUGAAAUGCGUAGAUAUACGGAGGAACACCAGUGGCGAAGGCGGAUUACUGGACGAUAACUGACGCUGAGGCGCGAAAGCGUGGGGAGCAAACAGGAUUAGAUACCCCAGUAGUCC
rnacentral:rRNA from 1 species